UACGAGUUAUUACUUGCUACUUGC
rnacentral:siRNA from 1 species